AAGCCUUACCGGAGGAUCACUAGGCUCUCUACUCGAGUAAGGACGCAGUAAAAUGCGAUACGCGGCACUUAAUGCAGAUUGGGUGCCGAUGUCCGAAGGGUGUGCAAAGGGUGAGUGGAUGCAAGUCUGCGUCUUA
rnacentral:rRNA from 1 species